GCCCAGGUGGCGAAAUUGGUAGACGCGCUAGUUUCAGGUACUAGUUCUCGCAAGGGAGUGAUGGUUCGAGUCCAUUCCUGGGCACCA
rnacentral:tRNA from 1 species